ensembl:lncRNA
GGAGGGGAAACUCCAGAACUGCCAUUUUUCUUUCUGGGAAAGCUGUAGAAGCACCACGUAAAAAUUACAAUUUUGACUAAGAUAUCCUCACCCAACAAACCAAAGACAACCAACAACCAAAACUUUAUUCUCAAACUUUUCAACAAUAAUGUGAAGAAAUCUUGUAACUGAAAUCAACUUCAGAAAAAAAGAAAGCCAGGUCAUUAUUUCAAGGCAGAUGGAAAACAAAAGAUAUGGAAAAUAUACUGCAACAGUUCAAAACGGAUUCCAUGGUCCACAAAAAUGAGGAAAAAAAAGCCAUUCAGGUUCUGUCUCACACACUGGACCCAGCACAUAACCAUUCCCCUGAUUGAAGGACACAAUGUCAGUGAACGAAGAGAAGGCAUAGAACCAGGACCUAUGCACCUGAAAUCCAAAAAGGACCAAAACCAUAGAGCCUGUGACAACUUGAUCCAGCACCAAGAACGAUGUGUGAAGUAUAUUGAAGAUAAAACCCAUGAACAUAAAUAAUGCCUUUUUAAAAAGUAAUGUUAAUUUACAUCAUUUUAAUAAUAUUCCUUCUUUACAGUGCUUUUACCUUCCUAAAUUAAAAUAUUAGUACUUCAUAGUCCUUUUCGUUCCACAAUUACUGCGGUUCAAUUAUGCUCUUGCAUAUGUCAGGUACACUACAGUCUAAUUUAAUCUUCAUUACACAUUGCCAUAUUGCAAUUAUACAUGCUAUCAGAGUGUUAACACAUACUUAAACCUGUAAUUCCUUUGUCACUGAUUUACAAAGACGUACCUGAAAAGAAGCAGAUGUCAUAAUUACAUGCUUAUUCAGCUCAUUUUAUACUGAGUCUCAACGUAAAUUGCAGAUGAGCUAGACAUGUCCUGAAAUUAAUGUAGUG